CCUGGCUCAGUACGAACGCUGGCGGCGCGCCUAACACAUGCAAGUCGAACGAGCGAGAGAGAGCUUGCUUUCUUGAGCGAGUGGCGAACGGGUGAGUAACGCGUGAGGAACCUGCCUCAAAGAGGGGGACAACAGUUGGAAACGACUGCUAAUACCGCAUAAGCCCACAGCUCGGCAUCGAGCAGAGGGAAAAGGAGCAAUCCGCUUUGAGAUGGCCUCGCGUCCGAUUAGCUAGUUGGUGAGGUAACGGCCCACCAAGGCGACGAUCGGUAGCCGGACUGAGAGGUUGAACGGCCACAUUGGGACUGAGACACGGCCCAGACUCCUACGGGAGGCAGCAGUGGGGAAUAUUGCACAAUGGGGGAAACCCUGAUGCAGCGACGCCGCGUGGAGGAAGAAGGUCUUCGGAUUGUAAACUCCUGUUGUUGAGGAAGAUAAUGACGGUACUCAACAAGGAAGUGACGGCUAACUACGUGCCAGCAGCCGCGGUAAAACGUAGGUCACAAGCGUUGUCCGGAAUUACUGGGUGUAAAGGGAGCGCAGGCGGGAGAACAAGUUGGAAGUGAAAUCCAUGGGCUCAACCCAUGAACUGCUUUCAAAACUGUUUUUCUUGAGUAGUGCAGAGGUAGGCGGAAUUCCCGGUGUAGCGGUGGAAUGCGUAGAUAUCGGGAGGAACACCAGUGGCGAAGGCGGCCUACUGGGCACCAACUGACGCUGAGGCUCGAAAGUGUGGGUAGCAAACAGGAUUAGAUACCCUGGUAGUCCACACCGUAAACGAUGAUUACUAGGUGUUGGAGGAUUGACCCCUUCAGUGCCGCAGUUAACACAAUAAGUAAUCCACCUGGGGAGUACGACCGCAAGGUUGAAACUCAAAGGAAUUGACGGGGGCCCGCACAAGCAGUGGAGUAUGUGGUUUAAUUCGACGCAACGCGAAGAACCUUACCAAGUCUUGACAUCCCUUGACGAACAUAGAAAUAUGUUUUCUCUUCGGAGCAAGGAGACAGGUGGUGCAUGGUUGUCGUCAGCUCGUGUCGUGAGAUGUUGGGUUAAGUCCCGCAACGAGCGCAACCCUUAUGGUCAGUUACUACGCAAGAGGACUCUGGCCAGACUGCCGUUGACAAAACGGAGGAAGGUGGGGAUGACGUCAAAUCAUCAUGCCCUUUAUGACUUGGGCUACACACGUACUACAAUGGCGUUAAACAAAGAGAAGCAAGACCGCGAGGUGGAGCAAAACUCAGAAACAACGUCCCAGUUCGGACUGCAGGCUGCAACUCGCCUGCACGAAGUCGGAAUUGCUAGUAAUCGUGGAUCAGCAUGCCACGGUGAAUACGUUCCCGGGCCUUGUACACACCGCCCG
rnacentral:rRNA from 1 species